rnacentral:misc_RNA from 1 species
ACGAGUUAGGGUCUCACCGGCCCGACCUCCCAACCCUUUGUCUACCUGACCAUCGUUGCUUCGGCGAGCCCGUCCUCACGGACCGCCGGGGGGCUCUUCGCCCUCUGGCCCGCGCUCGUCGACAGCCCCCACAAUAUAAUCUUCACUAAAACGUGUCUUAAUCUAAGUAUUAUUGUUAAAUAAAAACA